rnacentral:rRNA from 1 species
AGAGUUUGAUCCUGGCUCAGAUUGAACGCUGGCGGCAUGCCUUACACAUGCAAGUCGAACGCGAAAGGGGGGCAACCCCCGAGUAGAGUGGCGAACGGGUGAGUAAUACAUCGGAACGUGCCCAGUAGCGGGGGAUAACCUCUCGAAAGAGAGGCUAAUACCGCAUAUGUCCUACGGGAGAAAGAGGGGGAUCGCAAGACCUCUCACUAUUGGAGCGGCCGAUGUCGGAUUAGCUAGUUGGUGGGGUAAUGGCCCACCAAGGCUACGAUCCGUAGCUGGUCUGAGAGGACGACCAGCCACACUGGAACUGAGACACGGUCCAGACUCCUACGGGAGGCAGCAGUGGGGAAUUUUGGACAAUGGGCGCAAGCCUGAUCCAGCCAUGCCGCGUGGGUGAAGAAGGCCUUCGGGUUGUAAGGCCCUUUCGGCUGGGACGAAAAGGUCCGCGCUAACACCGCGGAUCCAUGACGGUACCAGCAGAAGAAGCACCGGCUAACUACGUGCCAGCAGCCGCGGUAAUACGUAGGGUGCAGGCGUUAAUCGGAAUUACUGGGCGUAAGCGUGCGCAGGCGGUCUAUUAGGACAGGUGUGAAAUCCCCGGGCUUAACCUGGGAACUGCGCUUGUAACUGAUAGGCUUGAGUGUGGCAGAGGGGGGUGGAAUUCCACGUGUAGCAGUGAAAUGCGUAGAGAUGUGGAGGAACACCGAUGGCGAAGGCAGCCCCCUGGGCUAACACUGACGCUCAUGCACGAAAGCGUGGGGAGCAAACAGGAUUAGAUACCGUGGUAGUCCACGCCCUAAACUAUGUCAACUGGUUGUCGGGGAAGCAAUUUCUUGGUAACGAAGCUAACGCGUGAAGUUGACCGCCUGGGGAGUACGGCCGCAAGGUUAAAACUCAAAGGAAUUGACGGGGACCCGCACAAGCGGUGGAUUAUGUGGAUUAAUUCGAUGCAACGCGAAAAACCUUACCUACCCUUGACAUGCCAGGAACCCUCCAGAGAUGGAGGGGUGCCCGAAAGGGAACCUGGACACAGGUGCUGCAUGGCUGUCGUCAGCUCGUGUCGUGAGAUGUUGGGUUAAGUCCCGCAACGAGCGCAACCCUUGCCAUUAGUUGCCACAUUCAGAAAGGCACUCUAAUGGGACUGCCGGUGACAAACCGGAGGAAGGUGGGGAUGACGUCAAGUCCUCAUGGCCCUUAUGGGUAGUGCUUCACACGUAAUACAAUGGCCGGUACAGAGGGCAGCCAACCCGCGAGGGGGAGCUAAUCCCAGAAAGCCGGUCGUAGUCCGGAUUGCAGUCUGCAACUCGACUGCAUGAAGCCGGAAUCGCUAGUAAUCGCGGAUCAGCAUGUCGCGGUGAAUACGUUCCCGGGUCUUGUACACACCGCCCGUCACACCAUGGGAGUGGGUUUCACCAGAAGUAGUUAGCCUAACCGCAAGGAGGGCGACUACCACAGUGAGAUUCAUGACUGGGGUGAAGUCGUGACAAGGUAGCCGUAUCGGAAGGUGCGGCUGGAUCACCUCCU